GCCGAGAUGGCGAAAUGGUAGACGCGCACGUUUCAGGUACGUGUGUCGCAAGACAUGGAGGUUCAAGUCCUCUUCUCGGCA
rnacentral:tRNA from 1 species